rnacentral:rRNA from 1 species
AACGAACGCUGGCGGCAUGCCUAACACAUGCAAGUCGAACGAGACCUUCGGGUCUAGUGGCGCACGGGUGCGUAACGCGUGGGAACCUGCCCUUAGGUUCGGAAUAACUCCCCGAAAGGGGUGCUAAUACCGGAUAAUGUCUUCCGACCAAAGAUUUAUCGCCUUUGGAUGGGCCCGCGUUGGAUUAGCUAGUUGGUAGGGUAAAAGCCUACCAAGGCGACGAUCCAUAGCUGGUCUGAGAGGAUGAUCAGCCACACUGGGACUGAGACACGGCCCAGACUCCUACGGGAGGCAGCAGUGGGGAAUAUUGGACAAUGGGCGAAAGCCUGAUCCAGCAAUGCCGCGUGAGUGAUGAAGGCCUUAGGGUUGUAAAGCUCUUUUACCCGGGAUGAUAAUGACAGUACCGGGAGAAUAAGCUCCGGCUAACUCCGUG